GAGUGCGUCCAACAAUGAAAAGAGAGAAAAAGAAGAGGGUGACCAAACAGGAGCUGAUCUGAAGGAGAGAGCUGAGAUGAACCACUCUGACUCCAAUCUAUUUGUUCACGGACUGCUCGGUCGGUGGUGUGUGUGUGGGCCAGGGGCUUCCCCCAGUCUAGUUCAGCCUUCAGCCUGUUCUCAUGCUAGUACAUCUCACCCCCAUCCUCAUAAUAUGUAAAGUUACGAUAUGGGGGUAGUUUAGUGUUAGCACACAGUUAGGUAACACACUGCCAGGAUACACUUCCACACUGCAGGCUGCAGGUUUUUCUUUGGCGGCCAUGAGGCCUUUUGUUUGUUUUGUGUUUGUUUUGUCUUUGGUAUUUUUCCUUUUUUGUACAUAUUUAAGUUUCGUCACCAUCUGAACAAAUAAUAAUCUGCUUGGACUGGCCGAUUAAGAGGUCAAAAAGGAGCUGGCCCUGGACCUAAGUUACUCACCCGGAUCAUUUACCCCAUUCCCGUCUGGUCGUCGGAGGAUUCCGCUACCCCAUUGGAUCCACCUAUUUACUCCCAUCAACUCACCACCGCUGCCCGCUACGCCACCUGGAUAUAUCUACCCAUUCACAUUCACUUGUAAAUAAAUACUCAGAACGAUCCGGCCAAGGAUGAACCCAGCGGACCUGGACUCCGUUUGCCAUGCCAUUACCCAGCAGGGGAAGACAUUGGGACAACACAAGACGGCGCUACAGGAGAUAGCGGGUUCAAUCCAGAACUUAUCUGCUAGCUUGACACAAAUCCAGGAUCAGCUCAGUUUGCCGGCGAUUCAUUCACCACCUGUUUCACCCAUCUCACCUGCCGUGUCUGGUGCGGUUUCCUUCCGUGAGCCCAAGGUUCCGACACCGGAGAAGUAGUACGAUGGAGAUCUGGGAGGAUGCCGUUCAUUUCUUUUACAGUGUGGGUUGGUUUUUGAUCUCUAGCCCUACUCUUACACCACAGAUAAGGCUAGGAUAGCUUUUGUUAUUGAGCUGCUGCGUGGUAGAGCUCUGGAAUGGGCUUCAGCUGUUUGGGAACGACGGGACACAUGCAUGACGUCAUACCAGGGUUUCACGGCAGAGAUGAGAGAACUUUUUGACCAUCCAGUCCGAGGUAAGGACGCAGCUAAACGUUUGUUCUCUCUUCGCCAAGGAGCUCACAGUGUGACAGACUUUGUGAUAGAAUUCAGGACAUUGGCUGUGGAGAGUGGUUGGAAUGAGGAAUCACUACAAGCGUUUUUUUACCAGGGGUUGUCGGAGCAACUCAAGGACGAGCUGAUCUCCUAUCCAGAGCCUAGUGACCUAGAUAGUUUGGUCACCUUAGCUAUUCGGGUAGAUAAUAGAGUCCGAGAGAGGAGGGAGAAGCAGUGGGGUCCAUCUAAUCAAUCUGAGACUCGGUUACCAUUCGGGUCAGGAAGUGGACCAGAACGGGUUGAACAUUUUCCCUCACACUGGAUUAGUGGAGGAGUCCUGCCGCCAGAUCCUGAACCUAUGCAAGUGGGACGGCACGGGUUAACUAAGGACGAGCGCCAACGUAGACGUGAGACCAACAGCUGCCUCUACUGUGGUAGCUCGGGACAUUACAUCUCCGUUUGUCCUCAGCGCCCGUUAAACUGCUCGGCUCGUUAAGUUUGGGAGGUUUGUUAGCGAGCCAGUUUCAACCUCUCAAGAGCCCUGUCAGACCUCGUUUUCCUGCUACCCUCAUAAAUAAGAAUCAGAGUUUAGCGAUUAACGCUUUCAUCGAUUCAGGUGCCGAUGACAGCUUCAUUGAUGCCGACUUAGUGGAACAGCUGGGGCUUUCCAAGGAGCAAUUACCGGAAGCCGUUGAAUCAACCACUCUGAACGGCAGUAGUCUGGCACGGAUCACUAUGAGGACUGAACCGGUUAAGAUGUUGUUGUCGGGGAAUCAUUCAGAGGUUAUUUCUUUUUUCAUUUUGCCUUCCCCCCCAUGUUCCUCUGGUUCUUGGAUACCCCUGGCUAAGAGAACACAAUCCUUCGUUCGAUUGGGUGACUGGUAAGGUAACUAGUUGGAGCAUUGAGUCCCAUGCUAACUGCCUCAGGACUGCCUGUUCUCAUGCUGUCCCCAGUCGGGUCAGUGAGUCUGCUCCUCCUGAUUUGUCCCUGGUUCCUGAAACAUAUCACGAGUUGGGUGAGGUGUUCAGUAAGCAGAAAGCUCAGUCACUUCCUCCCCACCGACCUUAUGAUUGUACAAUUAAGCUGUUCCCUGGAGCUGCCUUUCCCAAGGGACGGUUAUACAGUAUUUCUCGACCUGAGCGAGAAGCCCUGGAGACCUACAUAAAGGAGUCUCUUGCUGCAGGUCUCAUUCGUCCCUCGUCAUCACCCCUGGGAGCUGGAUUUUUUUUUGUGAGUAAGAAGGAUGGCUCUCUUCGACCGUGUAUUGAUUUAUCGGGGGUUGAAUGAUAUUACGGUCAAGAACAAGUACCCCUUGCCCUUGAUGAGCUCCGCUUUCGAUUCUUUACAGGGUGCUACUGUGUUUACGAAGCUUGAUCUACGCAAUGCGUAUCAUCUGGUUCGGAUCAAAGAGGGGGACGAGUGGUUGACUGGAUUCAAUACACCUAUGGGACAUUUCGAGUACCAGGUGAUGCCGUUUGGACUUUCCAACGCUCCAGCAGUGUUCCAAGGUUUGGUGAAUGACGUGCUGAGGGAUAUGAUCGGUCUGUUUGUGUUCGUUUACCUGGAUGACAUCCUGAUUUUCUCCAAGGAGCUUUCCAGCCAUAUCCAGCAUGUUAAGCAGGUCCUGCAGCGGUUAUUGGAGAACCGUCUGUUUGUGAAGGCAGAGAAGUGUGAUUUUCACGCCCACACUACAUCCUUCCUCGGGUACAUCAUCUCCAGGGGUGAGAUCAAGAUGGACCAAGAGAAGGUUCGGGUGGUUCGGGAUUGGGCCC